rnacentral:ncRNA from 1 species
AAGAAGUUUUAUUCUUGCUUUUUCAUUUAGUUCUUGUUUGUUCUAUAUGUGAGUUUGUGCGUGUGUUUUAUUUGCCUGGCUCUAAGAUGGGUUUAGUGGGCGGCGUUGGUCUUGUUUGUUUAUUUUCAUUAGUUGUUAUUGGUUUGAUCAAGUAUUCUUGUAUCUAGCAAUUCAUUUUAGUUUCGGUUAAAUUUUGUGCCAGCAGCCGCGGUUAUACCUUGGAGGCGAUUGAAUGUAUUUGGUGUGUUGGUAGUUGUAUGUUUAUAUUUUGUUGAUUUUCUUUGAUUGGUUUUAUUGAGGUGAAAUUUUUAUUUUUGUUUAUUGUUUGUUAUUUGUUUGGAGGCUCUGAGACUUUUAAUUUUAGACUAGGAUUAGAUACCCUAUUAUUUUUGAGUGUUAAUGUUUUAUGCCUGAGUAGUAUUAGUUAUGUUCUUGAAACUUAAAGAAUUUGGCGGUAUCUUAUUCCAUUCAGAGGAAUCUGUCUCGUUAUCGAUAGUCCGCGUUGGACCUUGCUUGGAGUUGGUGUGGUUUGUAUACCGCCGUUUAUUGAUUAUCCUUUGAGGGUUAAUUUUCUGGCUUCUUUAUUUUGGUUAAUUUCAGGUCAAGGUGCAGCCUUUAUCUAAGUGUAAUGAUGGAUUACAGUGUUAUUUGUUGUUUGGAUUGUUUGGUUUUAAUACUGACAUGAAAUUGGAUUUGGUUGUAAUGUUUUGUAGAUUGUUUUCAUGAUAGUUGGUUCUGAGAUAUGUACACAUCGCCCGUCGCUCUCGUUUAGUUAUUAAUGAGAUAAGUCGUAACAAAGUGGCUGUACCGGAAGGUGUGGCUGGAAUGGA